UACGUAGGAGGCAAGCGUUGUCCGGAAUUACUGGGCGUAAAGCGCGUGUAGGUGGUGGGACAAGUCUGCUGUGAAAGCGCCUGGCUUAACCGGGCGAGGUCGGCGGAAACUGUCCGACUAGAGGACGGUAGAGGGGGGUGGAAUUCCCGGUGUAGUGGUGAAAUGCGUAGAGAUCGGGAGGAACACCUGUGGCGAAGGCGGCCCCCUGGGCGGCCCUGACACUGAGACGCGAAGGCGUGGGGAGCGAACGGG
rnacentral:rRNA from 1 species